GUCACUCACUCAUUCAUUCAUUCCACAGAC
rnacentral:piRNA from 1 species